CAGUAGCCGCGGUAAUACGUAGGUGGCAAGCGUUGUCCGGAAUUAUUGGGCGUAAAGGGCUCGCAGGCGGUUUCUUAAGUCUGAUGUGAAAGCCCCCGGCUCAACCGGGGAGGGUCAUUGGAAACUGGGAAACUUGAGUGCAGAAGAGGAGAGUGGAAUUCCACGUGUAGCGGUGAAAUGCGUAGAGAUGUGGAGGAACACCAGUGGCGAAGGCGACUCUCUGGUCUGUGACUGACGCUGAGGAGCGAAAGCGUGGGGAGCGAACAGGAUUAGAUACCCCUGUAGUCCCUGUCUCUUAUAA
rnacentral:rRNA from 1 species